rnacentral:siRNA from 1 species
AGCAAUCAAGAUGUGUACAGAAGC